CGUGAGAUCGGAGGGCCCCCUCCUGCCUCCUCCCCGGGGCCCGCUCUUUGGCCCGGUCCUCGGGCUGCGCGGUUCCUUCCCCCGGGCGCGUCCAGCCAUAACAAAGCUCGGAGGGCUUUCUUCCCAGGGCUGGCUCAAGUGAGAGGAGGCUUUUUUCCAGAAACCUCCCAGCAAGACUUCCCUUCGCAUCUCAUUGGGCCGAAGAAGGAUCGACUAAGUAGUUCGGAACAACCUCCCCAUCGUGAACAGUUAGUAAAGCUGGACGGACACAAACCCACGAUUCGGAGACACUGCUGAGCUGAUAGGACAGUGAAUCACAGGAGGAAGAGAAACCCUCAGACUUCCACCUGAGACCAACCUCUUGUCAUGAAGACACACAAACCAAAAAGAAGAUAUUCAUCACGUGAAAUCCAGUCUCGUCAGAUGCUAAACGGUGUAGAAACCCUAAGUAGCCAACAAUGGAGUGUGAAAUGUUUGAUUCAUCCACUGCUACGACUUCAUGUUGUGCUCCCUACGCUCAUUCUUUCCUCCCCAAAUAGUUUGCCUGAUGUCUGACUUUGUUGAUACUUUGAAGAAGGACUAAGCGUACCAGCCACCACUUACACGGUCUCAGUAGGAGAAUUCGCACCUUGACACGAAGGGCACACAGCGGCCUCGGGGAUGCUCAGGUCCCGGCCACUGCCGUGCCACACACCCACCUUCCAUGUCAUCCCCCUCUGUCACUGACGGGCUUAUCAACAAAUAUCUAGUGCUCAGGGGCCGCCCACCAGAGAUGCGAAGAUACACAAAUACUGUCUCUGCCCUUAGGGAGCUCACAACCCAACACAAAAUGUAGACAUAGAGAA